CAGAGUCCCUUACUCUUGUUGAGCUCGGGUGUUUUUAGGAGCAAGGGGUCAGCUGGCACUCGGGAAGGACGAGCGUGGCCUGCAGCUUGGAUGCUGUGCUCCUCUGAAGGGCUGUGGCACUAAAACCCCCAGCUCAUGGCAUUUGCUGCAAUCUAAAAUGCAGUUCCCCACAUGCUGCUUAAGGUCACAAUCAGCAGACAGCAAGAAUCACAACUCCUUUAGUGAUGAUUCCCUCUCCAUGCCCUACCUAUCUUGGUAAUAAGCCUCUGUCCUGGAUUGUGGUGUGUAUCUGUGAUUCAAGGCUGCUGUUUACUUCUUCGUUAAUUGUCAGCAUCCUGUAUUUGUGCAGCAUUACCAACAUCUAUUUGGAUGGCGUUACAGAAUAGGGUGCAGCGUGGCCGGUAACACUUCAAAGCCUAUUUUCUCUUAGCCAUCACAAAAACACUGGUAGAUUGAGAACUGCCUGAACAGCGUAUCUCAGGGUUGUGAUCAGUGACACAGGGUCCACUUGGAGGCCUGUCACUAGUGGUGUCCCACUGGGGUCAUUACUAGGCCCAGUUUUGUUUAACUUGUUCACCCAUGACUGGAUGAAGGGGCAGAGGCCUCCUCAGGAAGUUCACUCGUGACACAAAGCUGGGAGGAGGGGCUGAUUCCUCAGAGAGAUGUGUAGCCCUUCAGCAGGAGCUCAACCGGGCAGAAAGGAAUAGUCUGAAAAUCAGCAAAGGCAAGUGCAGGGUCCUGCUCCUGGUAAAGAACAACCCCAGGCACCAGCACAGGCUGGGGGCUGGCCUGCUGGAAAGCACUCUGUAUAAAAGGACCUAGGGGUCCUGGUGGACAACAAGCCAUCCACGAGCCAGCUGUGCCCUGGUGGCCGAGAAGGCCAAUGGUAUCCUGGGCUGAAUUAGGAAAAGCAUUGCCAGAAGGUGGAAGUGAUCCUGCCACUAUGCUCAUCCCUCGUGAAGUGUGUCUGGAGUGCUGUGUCCAAUUCUGGGCUCCUCAGGGCAAGAGAGACAUGGAGCUCCUGGAGUGAGUCCAGUAGACAGUGACAAGGAUGAUGAGGGGACUGGAAAACCUCUCUUAAGAGAAAAGACUGAUGCAGCUGAGCCAGUUUAGCCUGGAUUGAGAGGGACCUUAUCAAUGUAUGUGAUUAACUGAAAGGACCAUAUCAAAAGGAUGGAACCAGACUCUUCUCAGUGCUGCCAAGCAAUAAGACAAGAGGCAAUGGGCACAAGAAGUUUCACCUGACUAUAAGUGGGUUACAGAGCACUGGAGCAGGCCGUUCAGAGAGGUUCUUGAGCCUCCCUCAUUGGAGAUAUUCAAGAACAAUCUGGACAUAAUCCAGAGCACAGUGCUCUAGGGAAACCUGCUUAAGCAGGGAGGUUGGACCUGAUGACCUCCAGUGGCCCUUCCAACCUUAAAUCACAGCAUCUCAGAAUCAGUAAAGUGUUGACAUGUAGGAAUCAAAAGACUUUGACUCAGAAAUGUGGGACGACCAGUAAGGACAUGCCUAAAUACAGCAAAAUUCCAGGCAGCAGCAACUUCCCUCAGCAGUGAGGAAGAAAGCAGUGGAGUUGGUAGCAGGAUGCUCAACACUGAUCCCCUUUUCAGAUGCACCAGCAGCUGUGUUUGGGGCUUGUUUUCCCUAAAUGCUGUCUGUGUGUUGUGCAAAGCCCUUUAAUAGAGGAGAACAGAGCAGAAUCUGUUAGCCAGGAGAGCGGCUCUGCAGAAAAGCAGAUCCAAAAAAGCCUUGGGUCUAGCUCCUUUCUGUGCAGAUGCACAUUUAAGCAGAGACAAAAGGAAAGACCAAGCAGAGGCUGAAGACACAGGAAAAGCAAUUUUCAUCAUCUGAUGUAGGGAGUAGAGAGAAAAGCUGUCAGAUCCAAAUUUCCAGUGUCAAUCCCUGGAAACAGAAAACUCCCAAGCUUGGUGUUCUGGACUGAGAAGAGCUUUUGACAUCUAGCAAGAGACAGAAUUCAUCUAGACUUUCCUGUCCAGUUUGAAGUGUCAUUUCUGUCUCCUCCACCUCUGCCCAGCCCAGCACUGAUAUCAGCAUCUGUGCAGAGCAUACCAUAAGUCCCUAUAUCUGAUAGACACCAGGAAAACUGUACAGCUGUGGCAGCUAUUUACUGCGGUCCAUAACAAAUGUAUUGUGUGUGUCUCCUAGGAUGGAAGGUGAGAGUUGACAGAGUUUCCAUGUCCAGGAGCUCAGCAGCCAAGCUGCAAUUUUGGAGGAGCCAUCAGAGCACCCAAAAGAGCCCCUAUUCUGACUCUCCUGCAGGAUCCAGGUUACAACAUGAGCAUGUCUCCUGCAUUCCCCAGCUCUCAGUUUGCUUCAGGGGGGGUGAGAAGGCAGCAGUGAGCAUUACAGCAGCCUUGUCUGGACUCUGAGAUGAGCACCAGUUCUGGGGCAGUGGCAGGGAUUUCCAUACAAAGGUAUGCUGAAAAUUUGCUAGAAAAGUUCAUUUUCAAGUUCCAUUAAAAAAAAAAAAAAUCUGAAAAUUUUGGGGUAGUGAUUAAUACCAGCUCCAGACUGGUGCAGGCUGAUUGUUUGUGGUUUUUUCCUAUUUGUUUUAGGUUGUUUACUCAACACACUCAUUUGUUUACCUUGUUGUUUUGCACUCCUUGCAUCUGUUCAUUUGUUUAAGUAUGAGCCUCUGUGUUUUCCACUUCUGUUUCCUCUCAUUACAGUGGAGCAUCUGCUUAGCACUUAAAAAAAUAAAUCAAAAAUGAUCUUA